GCCGGCGUAGCUCAGCGGUAGUAGCAAAGGAAUCAUAAUCCUUGGGUCGGGGGUUCGAAUCCCUCCGCCGGCA
rnacentral:tRNA from 1 species